rnacentral:misc_RNA from 1 species
GAUGAAGAACGCAGUGAAAUGCGAUACGUAAUGUGAAUUGCAAAUUCAGUGAAUCAUCGAGUCUUUGAACGCACAUUGCGCCCCCUGGUAUUCCGGGGGGCAUGCCUGUCCGAGCGUCAUUGCUGCCCUCAAGCACGGCUUGUGUGUUGGGCCCCGUCCUCCGAUCCCGGGGGACGGGCCCGAAAGGCAGCGGCGGCACCGCGUCCGGUCCUCGAGCGUAUGGGGCUUUGUCACCCGCUCUGUAGGCCCGGCCGGUGCUUGCCGAUCAACCCAAAUUUUUAUCCAGGUUGACCUCGGAUCAGGUAGGGAUACCCGCUGAACUUAAGCAUAUCAAUAAGCGGAGGA